CCAAUAUUUGAUCCCUAAAGCUCUUUGAUUUUUUUUUCUAUUUUUUUCUUGCUUUUUCUUUGAUUUUUUUUCCUCCUAAAGUUUAUUCCCAGACUCUUUAUUUAUAGAUAAAUUUUUCAUAAUUUUUUUGAUAGAAAAAAGAGUCCUAAAACCCUUAGAAAUCGUAUAAAAAUCCUUAAGAAUUUUUCUGACCAUUGGAUCAAGCUUAGACCACCC
rnacentral:lncRNA from 1 species